AACGUAGGUCGCAAGCGUUGUCCGGAUUUACUGGGCGUAAAGAGCGCGCAGGCGGCUGGUCAAGUCCGAUGUGAAAUCUCCCGGCUCAACUGGGAAACUGCAUCGGAAACUGAUCGGCUUGAAGAUGGGAGAGGGUAGUGGAAUUCCCGGUGUAGUGGUGAAAUGCGUAGAUAUCGGGAGGAACACCAGUGGCGAAGGCGACUACCUGGCCCAUUCUUGACGCUGAGGCGCGAAAGCUAGGGGAGCGAACGGG
rnacentral:rRNA from 1 species